UCUAGGGGAUAUAACUUCUAUCUUGCUAAAAAACAAAAGUUGUUCGAUUUUUCUUUCAGAAAAAGAGUACCUUGGUGAAGAUACUGAUGCCUUUAAUGUGAAGCUUAUGAAGUUCCACAAGUAGAUGAACCAAUAUAAUUUAGUGAACCCAUAGAAUUGAAUUUGAUUAGAUCAAACCCGUAAUCUAUUGUAGAGGCAUCAUUAAGG
rnacentral:lncRNA from 1 species